UACGUAGGGGGCAAGCGUUGUCCGGAUUUAUUGGGCGUAAAGAGCGUGUAGGCGGCUAGGUAGGUCCGUUUGUGAAAACUCGGAGGCUCAACCUCGAGACGUCGAUGGAAACCAUCUAGCUAGAGUCCGGAAGAGGAGAGUGGAAUUCCUGGUGUAGCGGUGAAAUGCGUAGAUAUCUUCAAGAACACCAGCGGCGAAGGCGGUCUGCUGGGUCAUCACUGACGCUGAGGUACGAAAGCGUGGGUAGCGAACGGG
rnacentral:rRNA from 1 species